AGCCUUAUAUUCAUUAAUGAUAUAAAAUUGCAAAUUUUAAGGUAUAAAAAAAUUAUUAAGGCUU
rnacentral:tRNA from 1 species